UUUCAUGAUCCUGGUCUAGCUGGCUCCAUGGUGCCCUUUUGAUGGAUUCUCUCCGUUCUGUUAAUCUC